rnacentral:tmRNA from 1 species
GGGGAUGUCAUGGUUUCGACAAGAUUUCGUUGGAUUCAGGUUGCAGUGGACUGGUUGCCUUACAACCAAAACUAAAAAUAACUGGAAAUCAAAAUCUAGCUUACGCUGCCUAAUUUAGUUACUAACUAAUCGCAGUGCGUCACUAUCGACUUGGUCUUUGGGUUGAUAACUGGCGACAGAAACGAAGACUAAGCCAAUCAUUUAUCUAGGGUGCUUGGACGAAAAUCUUACUAGGUAAUUCAUCAUUUGUUUGUCUGUAUAUCAAGUGAUGUCGUAAUGAAAACAGAAUAAACUGUAGAUAUCUGAAUGUGGACAUUUUUUGGACAGGAGUUCAACUCUCCUCAUCUCCACCA